rnacentral:rRNA from 1 species
AGUAACACGUAUCCAACCUGCCGAUAACUCGGGGAUAGCCUUUCGAAAGAAAGAUUAAUACCCGAUGGCAUAAUAGAACCGCAUGGUUUGAUUAUUAAAGAAUUUCGGUUAUCGAUGGGGAUGCGUUCCAUUAGGCAGUUGGUGGGGUAAUGGCCCACCAAACCUUCGAUGGAUAGGGGUUCUGAGAGGAAGGUCCCCCACAUUGGAACUGAGACACGGUCCAAACUCCUACGGGAGGCAGCAUG